rnacentral:rRNA from 1 species
AAUGAACGCUGGCGGCAGGCCUAACACAUGCAUGUCGAACGAAGGCUUCGGCCUUAGUGGCGCACGGGUGCGUAACGCGUGGGAAUCUGCCUUUUGGUUCGGAAUAACCCCGGGAAACUGGGGCUAAUACCGGAUGGUUCCUUCGGGAUAAAGAUUUAUCGCCAAAAGAUGAGUCCGCGUACGAUUAGCUAGUUGGUGAGGUAAUGGCUCACCAAGGCGACGAUCGUUAGCUGGUCUGAGAGGACGAUCAGCCACACUGGGACUGAGGCACGGCCCAGACUCCUACGGGAGGCAGCAGUGGGGAAUAUUGGACAAUUGGCGCAAGCCUGAUCCAGCCAUGCCGCGUGAGUGAUGAAGGCCUUUGGGUUGUAAAGCUCUUUCGCACACGACGAUGAUGACGGUAGUGUGAGAAGAAGCCCCGGCUAACUUCGUGCCAGCCGCCGCCGUAACAC